CAGCAGCCGCGGGAAUACGUAGGGUGCGAGCGUUAAUCGGAAUUACUGGGCGUAAAGCGUGCGCAGGCGGUUUUGUAAGACAGAGGUGAAAUCCCCGGGCUCAACCUGGGAACUGCCUUUGUGACUGCAAGGCUAGAGUACGGCAGAGGGGGAUGGAAUUCCGCGUGUAGCAGUGAAAUGCGUAGAUAUGCGGAGGAACACCGAUGGCGAAGGCAAUCCCCUGGGCCUGUACUGACGCUCAUGCACGAAAGCGUGGGGAGCAAACAGGAUUAGAUACCCCAGUAGUCCCUGUCUCUUAUAC
rnacentral:rRNA from 1 species